rnacentral:lncRNA from 1 species
AGGGUGAGGGGCGCCACCGAGGAAGCGCCCACCGGGCUCCCGGGGCUGCCAGGCCCCAAAUUGAGGAAGUUGACUGCCAGAUCACACUCUGUUGGCCCACGCAGAUAGAUUCCAUUCAUCCUUUCUAAUGUCUACACCAUAUUUUGGAUAACAUGCCAUCAUCUCACAUUGUGUUGAAAGAAGAAACCAGAAUGUUGGGGUUGAUGUAUGCCAUAUGGAUGAAUUUAAACAGUUUCGGCCUUGCAAUAAUUGGUAUACUUCUAAUUGCAUGUGAAAUUAUACUCUUUUUAACGAAAGAUGAAACUAUUCAGUGGCCACAUGUACCCAGUAACAGAGGGAGCAAAGCAAAUCUUAUCCUCAAAGAACUGCAGCUGCUUGUUAGAUCUACCUGGUGGUUCCAUAGAGAAACUGCUCAGAGAACCUGCCUUUACCUCGCCUAAAACAGAACUAUCCCGGAGCUCAGCAAAGGAGUCCAUUCAUCCUCUAUAACUGCUAUACAAUAUCUCUGUUAAAAUGCUGAGAAGAUUUAUCCUAAAAGAAGGCACCAAAGCAAUGGGGUUCAUCAACUCAGGAUCCAGUAGUGUAAUACAGAAGCCUGUUACGAGAUAUAAGGCACUUUGCCCUCGGAAAUCUCACUGUCGGAAUCCUUGGAAAUCACACCACGCACAACUUCUAUUUCUUCAUAAUUUGCAAAGAACCAGUGUGACUCCAGUCAAGAACAAAAGAUUAAUUGUGAAUUAGCGAAGAACUCUAAUUUUUUCAAGCAGCCACAUGGAAAACGCAUUCUAAUGAAAUCCUUUCCAUUGCUCUUUUUUCUUAGUUCUUCAAUAAAGCAUGCGAUUUGAUCACAA